GACGAACCGUGCGAACGUUGUUCGGAAUCACUGGGCUUAAAGGGCGCGUAGGCGGCUUGCCAAGUCAGGGGUGAAAUCCUUCGGCUCAACCGGAGAACAGCUUCUGAUACUGGCGAGCUGGAGGGAGGUAGGGGCAGAUGGAACUUCCGGUGGAGCGGUGAAAUGCGUAGAUAUCGGAAGGAACGCCGGUGGCGAAAGCGAUCUGCUGGACCUCUUCUGACGCUGAGGCGCGAAAGCCAGGGGAGCAAACGGG
rnacentral:rRNA from 1 species